rnacentral:rRNA from 1 species
GACGAACGCUGGCGGCGUGCUUAACACAUGCAAGUCGAGCGGUAAAGCCCUUUCGGGGGUACACGAGCGGCGAACGGGUGAGUAACACGUGGGUGACCUGCCCUCAGCUCUGGGAUAAGCCUGGGAAACCGGGUCUAAUACCGGAUAUGACUCCAUGACGCAUGUUGUGGGGUGGAAAGCCUUGUGCGGCUGAGGAUGGGCCCGCGGCCUAUCAGCUUGUUGGUGGGGUGAUGGCCUACCAAGGCGACGACGGGUAGCCGGCCUGAGAGGGCGACCGGCCACACUGGGACUGAGACACGGCCCAGACUCCUACGGGAGGCAGCAGUGGGGAAUCUUGCGCAAUGGGCGAAAGCCUGACGCAGCGACGCCGCGUGA